AGUGAACGCUGGCGGUAGGCCUAACACAUGCAAGUCGAACGGCAGCACAGGAGAGCUUGUUCUCUGGGUGGCGAGUGGCGGACGGGUGAGGAAUACAUCGGAAUCUACUCUGUCGUGGGGGAUAACGUAGGGAAACUUACGCUAAUACCGCAUACGACCUACGGGUGAAAGCAGGGGACCUUCGGGCCUUGCGCGAUUGAAUGAGCCGAUGUCGGAUUAGCUAGUUGGCGGGGUAAAGGCCCACCAAGGCGACGAUCCGUAGCUGGUCUGAGAGGAUGAUCAGCCAAACUGGAACUGAGACACGGUCCAGACUCCGACGGGAGGCAGCAGUGGGGAAUAUUGGACAAUGGGCGCAAGCCUGAUCCAGCCAUACCGCGUGGGUGAAGAAGGCCUUCGGGUUGUAAAGCCCUUUUGUUGGGAAAGAAAUCCAGCUGGCUAAUACCCGGCUGGGAUGACGGUACCCAAAGAAUAAGCACCGGCUAACUUCGUGCCAGCCGCCGCAGUAA
rnacentral:rRNA from 1 species